GGAUUGCGAGGUGGAGGAGGUGGCAGUGUGCGAGGUGGAGGUGGAGGUGGAGGAUUGCGAGGUGGUGGUGAUACUGGAGAUUUUGGAGGUAAUGUAGGAGAUCUAGGUGGAAGUGAUUGUGGUGGUGAUACUAGAGAUUUUGGAGGUAAUGUAGGAGAUCUAGGUGGGAGCGAUUGUGGUGGUGAUACUGGAGAUUUUGGAGGAAACAUGGGUGAAGAUCUUGGCGGCAAUGUAGGAGAUCUAGGUGGGAGCGACUGUGGUGGUGAUACUGGAGAUUUUGGAGGUGGUGACGAUGGGGAUUUAGGAGGAAACGUGGGUGGAGAUCUUGGGGGCAAUGUAGAAGAUCUAGGUGGGAGCGACUGUGGUGGUGAUACUGGAGAUUUUGAAGGUGGUGACGAUGGGGAUUUAGGAGGAAACGUGGGUGAAGAUCUUGGCGGCGAUGUAGGAGAUCUGUGUGGUGGUGAUACUGGAGAUUUUGGAGGUGGUGACGAUGGGGAUUUAGGAGGAAACGUGGGUGGAGACCUUGGCGGCGAUGUAGGAGAUCUAGGUGGGAGCGACUGUGGUGGUGAUACUGGAGAUUUUGGAGGUGGUGACGAUGGGGAUUUAGGUGGAAAUGUAGGUGGAGAUCUUGGCGGCGAUGUGGGAGAUCUAAGUGGGAGUGAUUGUGCUGGUGAUACUAGAAAUUUUGGAGGUG
rnacentral:lncRNA from 1 species